UACAGAGGUCCCAAGCGUUGUUCGGAUUCACUGGGCGUAAAGGGUGCGUAGGUGGCAUGGUAAGUUUGAUGUGAAAUCUCCGGGCUUAACCCGGAAAUGGCAUUGAAUACUACUGUGCUGGAGGUUUGGAGGGGGGACUGGAAUUCGUCGGUGUAGCAGUGAAAUGCGUAGAUAUCGAGAGGAACACCAGUGGCGAAGGCGAGUCCCUGGACAACACCUGACACUGAGGCACGAAAGCUAGGGGAGCAAACAGG
rnacentral:rRNA from 1 species